ACCCGCUGAACUUAAGCAUAUCAAUAAGCGGAGGAAAAGAAACCAACAGGGAUUGCCUUAGUAACUGCGAGUGAAGCGGCAAAAGCUCAAAUUUGAAAUCUGGUGCCUUCGGCGCCCGAGUUGUAAUUUGGAGAGACAUCUUCGGAGUAGACGCCGUCCUAAGUUCCUUGGAACAGGACGUCACAGAGGGUGAGAAUCCCGUGCCUGGAUGGCUGUUCUACUUCAUGUGAAGUGUCUUCGACGAGUCGAGUUGUUUGGGAAUGCAGCUCAAAAUGGGAGGUAAAUUUCUUCUAAAGCUAAAUAUUGGCGAGAGACCGAUAGCGCACAAGUAGAGUGAUCGAAAGAUGAAAAGCACUUUGAAAAGAGAGUUAAAAAGUACGUGAAAUUGUUGAAAGGGAAGCGCUUGAGACCAGACUCGACCAGUGGUGAUCAGCGGUGCUUCCGUGCCGUGCACUUGCCAUUGGUUGGGCCAGCAUCGGUUUGGACGGCGGGAUAAAGACCUAAGGAAUGUGGCUCCCUCCGGGGAGUGUUAUAGCCUUGAGUGCAAUGCCGCCAGUCUGGACCGAGGACCGCGCUUCGGCUAGGAUGCUGGCGUAAUGGUCUU
rnacentral:rRNA from 1 species